UGAGGAAUAUUGGUCAAUGGGCGAGAGCCUGAACCAGCCAAGUAGCGUGCAGGAUGACGGCCCUAUGGGUUGUAAACUGCUUUUAUAUGGGAAUAAAGUGCGUGACGUGUCAUGCAUUGCAGGUACCACAUGAAUAAGGACCGGCUAAUUCCGUGCCAGCAGCCGCGGUAAUACGGAAGGUCCGGGCGUUAUCCGGAUUUAUUGGGUUUAAAGGGAGCGUAGGCUGUCUAUUAAGCGUGUUGUGAAAUAUACCGGCUCAACCGGUGGCUUGCAGCGCGAACUGGACGACUUGAGUAUGCAGGAAGUAGGCGGAAUUCAUGGUGUAGCGGUGAAAUGCUUAGAUAUCAUGACGAACUCCGAUUGCGCAGGCAGCUUACUGUAGCAUAACUGACGCUGAUGCUCGAAAGUGCGGGUAUCAAACAGG
rnacentral:rRNA from 1 species